rnacentral:lncRNA from 7 species
CCUGCACAAAGGAAUCGAUUCAUCAGGUUGCGGCUUCGAUUUGAUACAGAAAAAGGACAGCAGAAGAAAAGCAGAGUCACUCAAAUAGUACAUGUAAAUAGGCAAUGGUCGUCAGGCACUUGUAUGUGACCGUCAUAAAGUGUUCUCAGACAACUGGCUAUCAAUCUUCGUAAGACUACAGUUCCAUCUGAAAAAAAGAGUGAUCACUGAUAGGUAUCCAGACUGACAUCCUAGCAGAAAACUGAGCCGCUGCACAACCCACAACCAGGGCAGUAUGAUGUUACGUGUACAUGAUAUACACAGAAGAAUGCUAAGCCAAAAUACUCCGUCUUUUUUAUCAUGACAAACAUAUCAAGGGAUUUGUAAUUGGACAAAUGAAGUAUUAUGUAUCGACGUCAACAAGUGAUGAUAUUGAUAAAGCAUAGCAACAAUUUUUCUGCAACUCAACCUGUCAAAAUAGUUUCAAACUGUCACCCACACAUGGGAGAAGAUUUUAAACCAGAACUUCCCUGCAGCUCACGUUGUGUGCUUAAGCAGGAGUUUGCCAUUAGC